rnacentral:rRNA from 1 species
CCACCACUAAGCCAGUGGUGAACUCCACAUACGCAUCCUUUGCUGAGGAUACGGUUAACGGAGCGCAAGCGACGUUCAACCUCAAAAGAAGCAGAGGGGGCUUAGUGGUGGGGUGACUGCGUACCUUUUGUAUAAUGGGUCAGCGACUUAUAUUCUGUAGCAAGGUUAACCGAAUAGGGGAGCCGGAGGGAAACCGAGUCUUAAUUGGGCGUUAAGUUGCAGGGUAUAGACCCGAAACCCGGUGAUCUAGCCAUGGGCAGGUUGAAGGUUGGGUAACACUAACUGGAGGACCGAACCGGCUAAUGUUGAAAAAUUAGCGGAUGACCUGUGGCUGGGGGUGAAAGGCCAAUCAAACCGGGAGAUAGCUGGUUCUCCCCGAAAGCUAUUUAGGUAGCGCCUCGUGAAUUCAUCUCCGGGGGUAGAGCACUGUUUCGGCUAGGGGGCCAUCCCGGCUUACCAACCCGAUGCAAACUGCGAAUACCGGAGAAUGCUAUCACGGGAGACACACGGCGGGUGCUAACGUCCGUCGUGAAGAGGGAAACAACCCAGACCGCCAGCUAAGGUCCCAAAGUCAUGGUUAAGUGGGAAACGAUGUGGGAAGGCCCAGACAGCCAGGAUGUUGGCUUAGAAGCAGCCAUCAUUUAAAGAAAGCGUAAUAGCUCACUGGUCGAGUCGGCCUGCGCGGAAGAUGUAACGGGGCUAAACCAUGCACCGAAGCUGCGGCAGCGACGCUGAUGCGUUGUUGGGUAGGGGAGCGUUCUGUAAGCCUGUGAAGGUGGCCUGUGAGGG